rnacentral:rRNA from 1 species
GACGAACGCUGGCGGCGUGCUUAACACAUGCAAGUCGAACGAAGUGGCGAACGGGUGAGUAAUACGUGAGUAACCUGCCCUCCUGUUUGGGAUAAGCCUUGGCACCGGGGUCUAAUACCGAAUAAAGGGGGAUUGGCUCGCGGCCUAUCGGCUUGUUUGUAGGGUGAUGGCGUACAAAGGCGGUGACGGGUAGCCGGGCUGUGAUGGUGACAGUGCAAAUUGGGCCUGGGAUACGGCCCAGAGGCCGGCGGGAGGGGGGAGUGGGGGAUAAUGGACAAUGGGCGAAAGCAGGAUGCAGGGACGCAGCGUGGGGGAUGAAGGCUUUUGGGGUGUAAACAUCUUUGGCGAUCGAACGGGUAGGUGGAGAAGAAGCGCCGGCUAACUACGUGCCAGCAGCCGCGGUAAUUC